CAAUAGCGUAUAUUUAAGUUGCUGCAGUUAAAAAGCUCGUAGUUGGAUUUCGGGUGGGAAUGGCCGGUCCGCCGUUUCGGUGUGCACUUGCUACGCCCACCUUGCUGCCGGGGACGUGCUCUUGAGUUCACGCUUGGGACACGGAGUCGGCGAGGUUACUUUGAGUAAAUUAGAGUGUUCAAAGCAGGCCUACGCUCUGAAUACAUUAGCAUGGAAUAACACGAUAGGACUCUGGCCUAUCUUGUUGGUCUGUAGGACCGGAGUAAUGAUUAAGAGGGACAGUCGGGGGCAUUCGUAUUUCAUUGUCAGAGGUGAAAUUCUUGGAUUUAUGAAAGACGAACUACUGCGAAAGCAUUUGCCAAGGAUGUUUUCAUUAA
rnacentral:rRNA from 1 species